rnacentral:lncRNA from 1 species
AUGCUUUCCUUUAUCAAUCAGAAAGGGCCGUUCACAGAAGGCAUCUUCAGAAAACCAGCCAGUAUAAAAUCCGCAAUAGCCCUAAAGGAGAAACUAAACGCUGGACACAAAGUUAACUUUGAUGAUGAAUCCAUUCUCGUAGUAUCGUCGGUCUUAAAGGAUUUUCUUCGAAAUAUUCAAGGGAGCAUCUUUUCAGCCCGUCUCUACGAUAAAUGGCUUGAUGUCAUUGAUCAAGGGAAUGAGGAGGAGAAAAUAACUGCGACCCAGAGGCUUGUAGACCAGCUACCGAAAGCCAAUGUCGUUUUUUUGCGACACCUUUUUGGAGUGUUACACAACAUUGAGCAACAUUCCUCAUCCAGUCAGAUGACAGCUCAUGAUUUAUCCUUGUAUCUCACCCCAAGCAUCCUUUGUCUGCUUAAUUCUGGCAGCUCAGCAUUUGAAAACGUCAGCAAAAAGGUUUCUGUGAUACAAUUCCUCAUUGAAAACUGUCUCAAGAUAUUUGGAGAAGAUAUCACUUCUCUCUUUGGAGAGAACUCAGUGAGUUGUGAUAACAGUGAUAUCACUGAUAACAGUGAGAUUUCAGACAAGAAGACAGUUAAUAAGAGUUCUGUCAAAAACUCGGCCUUUUGGUGUAGCUCCAGGACUCGCGAGGACAACCAAGACCCACCUCUACCACCCAGAAAGCAAAAACAGCUCUUUGGAGUUGCUCUUGAGGAAGUAUGUGAUAAUGACACCCUGCCCACCCCAAUUCUGGAGAUGCUUUCCUUUAUCAAUCAAAAAGGGCCGUUCACAGAAGGCAUCUUCAGAAAACCAGCCAGUAUAAAAUCCGCAAUAGCCCUAAAGGAGAAACUAAACGCUGGACACAAAGUUAACUUUGAUGAUGAAUCCGUUCUCGUAGUAUCGUCGGUCUUAAAGGUAAGGAAAGCUUGAGCAUCGUCCACACACAGAGUCAGUCUAAAGCUGUAUGACUGGUCCUUCACUAUGAAUGCCCAAGAAGCAUAAUAGGCAUAAGAGAGGAAGGAUCUGAAACGUGGAAAACACUUCACAAAGUCAAAAGUGAAGGAAGGUACCUCAAAUGUUAUGAGCCCCAUACAUUAGAUAUUUUCCUUUUUCAUUGCACAUCUCGGUCCUGAACACUCCAUGAAGAAGAAGAAUAAAUUUCAAAAUACCCACUUACA